UACGUAGGGGGCUAGCGUUGUCCGGAGUUACUGGGCGUAAAGCGCGCGCAGGCGGCCCGCGAGGUGUCACGUGAAAGCCCCGGGCUCAACUCGGGAGGGUCGUGGCAAACCGGCGGGCUUGAGGCCGGUAGAGGUGGGUGGAACUCCUGGUGGAGUGGUGAAAUGCGUAGAGAUCAGGAAGAACACCCGUGGCGAAGGCGGCCCACUGGGCCGGUGCUGACGCUGAGGCGCGAAGGCGUGGGGAGCGAACGGG
rnacentral:rRNA from 1 species